rnacentral:rRNA from 1 species
CUGGGACAAGCCCUGGAAACGGGGUCUAAUACCGGAUACUGACCCUCGCAGGCAUCUGCGAGGUUCGAAAGCUCCGGCGGUGAAGGAUGAGCCCGCGGCCUAUCAGCUUGUUGGUGAGGUAAUGGCUCACCAAGGCGACGACGGGUAGCCGGCCUGAGAGGGCGACCGGCCACACUGGGACUGAGACACGGCCCAGACUCCUACGGGAGGCAGCAGUGGGGAAUAUUGCACAAUGGGCGAAAGCCUGAUGCAGCGACGCCGCGUGAGGGAUGACGGCCUUCGGGUUGUAAACCUCUUUCAGCAGGGAAGAAGCGAAAGUGACGGUACCUGCAGAAGAAGCGCCGGCUAACUACGUGCCAGCAGCCGCGGUAAUACGUAGGGCGCAAGCGUUGUCCGGAAUUAUUGGGCGUAAAGAGCUCGUAGGCGGCUUGUCACGUCGGUCACGUCGGAUGUGAAAGCCCGGGGCUUAACCCCGGGUCUGCAUUCGAUA